rnacentral:rRNA from 1 species
CCUACGGGAGGCUGCAGUGGGGGAUAUUGGACAAUGGGGGGAACCCUGAUCCAGCGACGCCGCGUGAGUGAAGAAGUAUCUCGGUAUGUAAAGCUCUAUCAGCAGGGAAGAAGAAAUGACGGUACCUGAGUAAGAAGCCCCGGCUAACUACGUGCCAGCAGCCGCGGUAAUACGUAGGGGGCAAGCGUUAUCCGGAUUUAUUGGGUUUAAAGGGUGCGUAGGCUGUGAGGUAAGUCAGCGGUGAAAUGCCCCCGCUCAACGGGGUGAAGUGCCAUUGAUACUGCCUUGCUGGAAUGCGGAUGCCGUGGGAGGAAUGUGUGGUGUAGCGGUGAAAUGCAUAGAUAUCACACAGAACACCGAUUGCGAAGGCAUCUCACGAAUCCGCGAUUGACGCUGAUGCACGAAAGCGUGGGUAUCAAACAGGAUUAGAUACCCUUGUAGUC